GUAGGUGGCAAGCGUUGUCCGGAAUUAUUGGGCGUAAAGCGCGCGCAGGCGGUUCGUUUAAGUCUGAUGUGAAAGCCCACGGGCUCAACCGUGGAGGGUCAUUGGAAACUGGAGAACUUGAGUACAGAAGAGGAAAGCGGAAUUCCACGUGUAGCGGUGAAAUGCGUAGAGAUGUGGAGGAACACCAGUGGCGAAGGCGGCUUUCUGGUCUGUAACUGACGCUGAGGCGCGAAAGUGUGGGGAGCAAACAGGAUUAGAUACCCUGGUAGUCCACGCCGUAAACGAUGAGUGCUAAGUGUUAGGGGGUUUCCGCCCCUUAGUGCUGCAGCUAACGCAUUAAGCACUCCGCCUGGGGAGUACGGCCGCAAGGCUG
rnacentral:rRNA from 1 species